rnacentral:misc_RNA from 1 species
GCCGACGGCCGCCAUGACUUCGACGUCGCUCACCUCCGACGAGCUCAACCUCCUCGUCUACCGCUACCUGCAGGAAUCAGGUUUUACGCAUGCCGCAUUUAACUUGGGAUAUGAAGCAGGGAUCAACAAAUGUCAAAUUGAUGGAAGUUUAGUUCCUCCGGGUGCUCUUGUUACAUUCGUGCAGAAAGGUCUUCAGUACAU